UACGUAGGUGGCAAGCGUUGUCCGGAUUUAUUGGGUUUAAAGGGUGCGUAGGCGGUUCCAUAAGUCAGUGGUGAAAUACGGCAGCUCAACUGUCGAGGUGCCAUUGAAACUGUUUAGCUUGAGGAUGAGAGAGGUGAGUGGAAUUCCCAGUGUAGAGGUGAAAUUCGUAGAUAUUGGGAAGAACACCGGUGGCGAAGGCGGCUCACUGGCUCAUUACUGACGCUCAGGCGCGAUAGCGUGGGGAUCAAACAGG
rnacentral:rRNA from 1 species